AACACUUCGACCAUCUCUGUACUUAAGGUUUACCAACCGUCGGAUAACCGAUGCUUUAUUUUGAGCGGUCUUCCGCUCGUACAUGGACGACAAUUUUGUCCAUAAUUUGUAUGCAUCCGUCUCUUGUGACACAUGGUGGAACACACUUUGAUCCACCCAUUGUCGGAUUUGUCCGACAACUUUUCUAUUCAGAAUGCUCCACGCAUCGUCUGACUUCCCUGCUGGUUUUUGUCCCAGCAAUUGAAGAGGCUCAUACAAAUCCUUGCAGUAAAGGAUGUCCUCCAUUCUUGGAUUCCAAAUGGAGUAAUUGGAUGCAGUCAAUUUUAACAUUGUUGCUGAUGAUGAUGACGAUGACUCCUCCAUCUUAAAUUACACAAGAAUAUAAUUUUUGAGCCGAAGCUCUGAUACCACUUGUUGGGAAAGAUUGCGAAAAAUCAAAGAGCCAAUAAAUAAAUAUGGCACUCCCAGGAUCUGACUUCUCCCAGCCUUGUGUAAAUAAAAUGGGCAAAAAAUAACACUCUAUCUUCCACUAAGAAAAAUAAUGGGAAUACAAUAAUAAUCUCAC
rnacentral:lncRNA from 1 species